GGCGAGAAAAGGAACCCAAACAUUGCUUACUCACCUUAAACUUGGCAGCCCACUGCAGAUGUCUUAUUAUUCAGUAACGCAGUUGAAACAUGAAGAAAUCUAAGAAUAUUAACCUUGGUUUUUGGAAUGUGCGCACUCUCAAGACAGUCACUCAGCACCAGAAUGAAAAACAGCACUGGUUGUCUUGAGUUAAAGAAAUACAACAUUGACAUAGCUGCACUAAGCGAAACUCAUCUUGCAGGAUCAUCACAGUUAGAAGAAAGUAAAGUUUGAUAUCCAUAUUCCAAACAUAUAUGGAGCAUAUGUAAAAAGAUUGUGUGGACUUCCAACUCUUGUACAUGCUACAUACAGUUGCCCAUGAGAAAAACAAUGUUCUUUGAGUUGUAGCCCAACAACAGGUAAUGUUUGUCCCUGGGAUUUAUUUAUAGACAUAGCAAAGCUGAGUUUCACUGGAAAUUGUAGCCUCUUGAAUACAAAAUACACUAUCCAUUGAUUACCAAUUGUAUGGUGACCAAUUUUGUUUCAAAACCUCCAUCUUGUGGUGCCCUUCUUCUGUAUGAUGGAUAUCCAUCAUUACUCAUUUGCAUUUCUUUUAUGAAAUUUUUAGGAUAAUGUUUCAUACACUUCUUGUCUUUCAUGCAAAGUGCAGUUGGGUUGAGAUCACCAAAUGGGCCAUGAUCCAUGUCCGAUUUUACAAUUUCAUAA